UGGUGAAUUUUGCACAAUGGGGGCAACCCUGAUGCAGCGACGCCGCGUGAUUUAGAAGGCCUUCGUGUUGUAAAAAUCUUUUCUAUGGGAAGAAAAUGACAGUACCAUAGGAAUAAGGACCGGCUAAUUACGUGCCAGCAGCCGCGGUAAUACGUAAGGUCCGAGCGUUGUCCGGAAUCAUUGGGCGUAAAGGGUACGUAGGCGGGUAAGCAAGUUAGAAGUGAAAUCCUAUAGCUCAACUAUAGUAAGCUUUUAAAACUGCUCAUCUUGAGGUAUGGAAGGGAAAGUGGAAUUCCUAGUGUAGCGGUGAAAUGCGCAGAUAUUAGGAGGGAUACCGGUGGCGAAGGAGACUUGCUGGCCAUAACCUGACGCUGAGGUACGAAAGCGUGGGUAGCAAGCAGG
rnacentral:rRNA from 1 species